UACGGGGGGGGGGCAAGCGUUGUUCGGAAUUACUGGGCGUAAAGGGCUCGUAGGUGGCCAACUAAGUCAGACGUGAAAUCCCUCGGCUUAACCGGGGAACUGCGUCUGAUACUGGAUGGCUAGAGAUUGGGAGAGGGAUGCGGAAUUCCAGGUGUAGCGGUGAAAUGCGUAGAUAUCUGGAGGAAUACCGGUGGCGAAGGCGGCAUCCUGGACCGACAUUGACGCUGAGGAGCGAAAGCUAGGGGAGCAAACGGG
rnacentral:rRNA from 1 species